CCUGCGGUUUAAUCGGACUCAACGCCGGGAAACUCACCAGAUAAGACAGCUGAAUGAUAGUCGGGCUGAAGACUCUACUUGACUAGCUGAGAGGAGGUGCAUGGCCGUCGUCAGUUCGUACUGUGAAGCAUCCUGUUAAGUCAGGCAACGAGCGAGACCCACGCCAACAGUUGCCAGCUCGUCCUCCGGGAUGGUGGGGACACUGUUGGGACCGCCUCUGCUAAAGAGGAGGAAGGAAUGGGCAACGGUAGGUCAGCAUGCCCCGAAUUAUCUGGGCUACACGCGGGCUACAAUGGGUGGGACAAUGGGUAUCGACACCGAAAGGUGAAGGCAAUCUCCUAAACCCAUCCGUAGUUCGGAUUGUGGGCUGCAACUCGCCCACAUGAAGCUGGAAUCUGUAGUAAUCGUGUCUCAAAAUGGCACGGUGAAUAUGUCCCUGCUCCUU
rnacentral:rRNA from 1 species